rnacentral:misc_RNA from 1 species
GUAUACCAUCAUUGCAAAUAUUGUUUGGUGUGAUUCCGAGCUUUAGAAAUUAGAAUCAAUUCCUUUCAGAAAGAUGAUGGAUCUUCUAUCCUUGUUUUCAUUCUAGCUGGAGCAGUCUUUUCAUGUCCACCGCUUAUUUUUCUGCUGUGCUUGGAUCAUGGAUGUUGCAAUUGCAAUUUAUUAAGCAAUAAAAAAGACACAGAAUCACCUACUCUGAAUAUCUGAAGAUGUAUUGGUUCUCACUUAUGGCAAACCUGUUGGGAAUACUUG